AACGAACGCUGGCGGCAGGCCUAACACAUGCAAGUCGAGCGCCCUUUCGGGGGAGCGGCGGAAGGGUGAGUAACGCGUGGGAAUAUGCCCUUCUCUACGGAAUAGCCUCGGGAAACUGAGAGUAAUACCGUAUACGCCCUUUGGGGGAAAGAUUUAUCGGGGAAGGAUUAGCCCGCGUUGGAUUAGGUAGUUGGUGGGGUAAUGGCCUACCAAGCCGACGAUCCAUAGCUGGUUUGAGAGGAUGAUCAGCCACACUGGGACUGAGACACGGCCCAGACUCCUACGGGAGGCAGCAGUGGGGAAUCUUAGACAAUGGGGGCAACCCUGUUCUAGCCAUGCCGCGUGAGUGAUGAAGGCCUUAGGGUUGUAAAGCUCUUUCAGCUGGGAAGAUAAUGACGGUACCAGCAGAAGAAGCCCCGGCUAACUCCGUG
rnacentral:rRNA from 1 species